AGGACGUAUUUAUUACUGUAUAAAUAUCAAGCUCAACGUAUAGGUAUUUGUGAAGGAAAGAUGGUCAAACGCAUUAUGAAUGUGUAACUCCACUACUACAAGAUAUAAAUCAGAAAUGUGUUAAAUAAUAUUGGUUGUGACUAGUUUAAUCGCACAAAUGUUUUACAGUAAAAUGGCCAUAUGAACACGGCGAAUAAUGGCCAGAUCGCAUACGGAAAUAUUUUGUUUCGUCGCGGUCAUUAUAACGUUAUAUAUUGGUGUUGUGGUCUGCAUGAACUGCUUUGGUUCUGUCAACAGUUUGAAACCUGUAGUGCCGUUUUGUAGUAUUCUGUCAGCACGCGGAAGUGUGAUUUAUUUAUCUGGAAUAGAUAAUGGUACAAAUGGUAUCGACUGUAAUUGUUCCAUUAGUUUAUAUACAUCUAAUCAAGAUCCUGUGAAAAUUGAAAUAAAGAAUGUAACUCUCUCCAACCAGUGUGAUUAUCAAUUAUUUUCUGUAUAUAGAAAUACAAGUACAAUUCUGUAUUCGUGUGUUCAAAAUUUAAAUGUACAACCUUUUAAGUUGAGACCUAUGGAAACUGUGCGAUUACAUAUGGAGACAGGAACUUAUAAUGGUUUUGGAUUUCCGUUUUGUCUUCAACUAAGUAUUAAUAGUACAGCGGAUUCGAGUAUUAAGCUACACUGCACAUCCAAGUCAACAACAACCACAGCUUCACCUACAUUAACAUACAUGACACCAGCAAGCGGAAACACUUCGUCGACGAUUUCUAACAAUAACAUACCAACUUCCAGUACCGGGAUAAAAGAUGGUACGAGUUACACAAGGUUUACCUCUAACACCAGUAGUGUAAUUCAUUCAACAACGAAACCACAACCAAACAAUGAUGAUUCAAAUCGCAUGUUUGGUAUAAUAAUUGGAUCUAGUCUAGCUGUUCUGGUUGUGGUAGCUUUAGUUAUUAUAAUUGUUUGUUUGAUAAAAAGACGAAAGAAAGAUGUCAUAUAUGAAACGCCACGACAACCAAAACAGAGUUCACAUAUUUAUAUGGAUUUACAUGUUGAACGCAGCAAAACAACAUUUAUGUGAACAGCGUGGUGAUUUAAAAAAAUAUAUAUAUUGACUUUUAGUAGAUGGGAAUAAUUGGGGCUAAGACCUCACCAUUAAAAUUUUACAGGUUUCGACGACUUGCCACACAAAAAGUGGUUGUAUUGCUUUCUAAAUGACAACCCAAAGCAUGUGUUGUUUAUGACAGAAAAUAAUGCAAUAUUGUGUAAUCGUGCAGAUUCACAAACUAUUAAACCCUAUAUGUACUCUUAUAAACAAUGAUGUGUAAAACUGAAGGGCGAGUUUUCAGAUGCGUUCAGGUGUUAAUCUAGCUAAUUACCAGCUUUAUUCUCAUGCUGUGUAUGUACCUACUAAUGUGCAACUAGCUAAAUUACUUGAUGUUUGUAACAAUGAAAACAUAAUUAUAAACAUUGCUAACAUAACUUUCAAUCUAUUUAUGUAUUGGUAAGCUACUCAUACUGGAAUUUACAUAUUUAUUGGUAAAUUGAAAUAUACUCUUAAAAAAACGAAACGCAAUAGUGACACUUCAUCGUUAGUAUAGGCUUGUUCUAUUACGAUCGCUUCGUUGCGACAGGAACCGCGACACGUCGCUGAACCAAACUGUUCUCCAGUGUUCCUGUGGCCAUACCCUCUGUCUCUGAACCCAUGGAAGUCGGAUUUCACGGUGUCGGCGUAUUUCAAAAUAUGAUCAUGUUUCACGUAGGCAUUUACGGAUUGUCUGAUCUGCGAUUCUACGCCAUUCGGGAAUUGUUGCUGCAGUAAGAGGUUGCUGUUGAAAACCGUUUCCGCAAAUGACGUAACCGGAUGUGACGUUCCAGGGCAAGUGGGGUCACUCGAGUUUGGGCGGUCACGUGUUGAACUUCGCUGUCGGUACCUACCCCGAAGGCGAGAAAUGGUAAUUUGGGAAACAUUCAGCAGCUUGGCUACAUCUGUCUGGGAUUCACCUGCUUGUAACCGACCAAUAGCGUUGUUGCGUUGGUCUUCGUUCAGAUGUGGCAUCACACGGCUCGUUGGGUAUCACUUGGUUCGUUGAGUGUGCAACUAAUUUUGAAAUCGAGAGCCCCAGCAUUUUAAAGGCCUUAGAUUUAGGUUUCAUGCUAAAAGCUCGCGAAGUUGUUAAACUUAUGUCUUGGUGCCAUCAAGCGAAAACAAAUUUCGGCAAAAAGUAUGACCAGUCACAAUUAGUGACCUUACAUUGAAAACCAAUAAUGAAUUUACAAUAAACACAACAGUUCUAUGGAUAACAAUUACUGUAUUUCUAUAACGCUAC